rnacentral:lncRNA from 10 species
CGGCGCCGAGCCCCGCCGGGCGCUCAGGGCAUGAAUAUUUCAGUGCUGGCGAAGCUGCCCUCUGCCGAUGUCAUGGCACCGGCUGCUGUGGCAACUCCACGAAUGCCCCAAAGGGGCAGGGAGGAAGCCCGCAGAAGCGGCCCCAGGAACAGUGACUUUAUGGCUUUUUGAGACAGCUGGAUCAAGGAAGGGUCCAUAUGCAGGUAAUGGAAGAGGUUUAUUCCCUACCUUUGAUCUUUACUUCCCUGGGGCUAAACAUUCUGAUUUUUUAAAACUAUUUCUCACAUGACAGGAUUUCUGGAGCUGUCACUGUUCCAGUCAGUACAUUGACAGUACCUGCCUGGAGCCAGGCUCUGGGCGAGACUCUCUGAGCCUCAACUCAUUCUAUCUUCAGCAAAGUCUUUCUGGUAGGUCCUGCCAUUAUCCCCGUUUUACAGUGAGAAACAGGCUUUAGGAGGUUGGAGACUUGCCCCUGUGGUAGAGUCAGGUAUUGAACCCAGAAUCUAUCUGGUUCCAAAGCUCCAGUUCCUUACCAUUCGCUCAUUCAUUAUUCAUUCAUUCAUUGGUUCAUUCAUUCAUUCAUUCAUUCAUUCAUUCAUUCAUUCACAGUCACUGCUACCUGCUAGCUAACUGAAACAGGUUCUAGGAAUAGGAUGGAGAACAAAGCAGGCUUGGUCCCUGUGCCCCAUGAAGCUCCUCUAGUAAGGGAACCAGACAUUCAUCAAUGAAACACAUAAGCAGGUAAAAUUACAGCCAGAAUCAGUGCCAGGAAGAAGAGUGCUUUAAUGGUGCCUGGCCUAGGGGAUCAGGGAAGACCUCCUGGAGGAGGUGACUGAGCUGAAGGAUGAGCAAGGGAGAGAGAGUGGAGUUUUAGGCAGGAGAAACAGCAUGUGCAAAGACCCCAGGUGCCCAAUAUGGGCAACGGCUGGGCCAGGAACAAUGGUUUGGUGGCCGCAGUUGCAAUCAACUUGUGCAAAGGUAGGAAGGAGCUGGCAUAUGUCAGGAAGUUCAGAAAGGGUGGGGAGAGCUCUGUGCCUCCAGUGAACGAGGAAAUGCUCCCGGGAAGCUUGGGAGGGUAAGUGAGCAGGCACUUGGCCUAGAUGAGCCUGCACCAUCUGUUGGCUUUAAGCACCCCUCUCUGAUCCGAGUCACUGAGUGGUCCCUCUAGUCCUUGGCAGUGACUGUAAAGCCACAAUGGAGUGGGGGCCAAACUGUGCAGGUGUGUUGGCCUUAAUCAGAGGUUGAUCUUUAUCUUAAGACUGACAGCUUGGGCUGGGCGCAGUGGCUCAAGCCUGUAAUCCCAGCACUUUGGGAGGCCGAGACGGGUGGAUCACAAGGUCAGGAGAUCGAGACCAUCCUGGCUAACACGGUGAAACCCCGUCUCUACUAAAAAAUACAAAAAAACUAGCCGGGCAAGGUGGCGGGCACCUGUAGUCCCAGCUACUCAGGAAGCUGAGGCAGGAGAAUGGCGUAAACCCGGGAGGCGGAGCUUGCAGUGAGCUGAGAUCUAGUCACUGCACUCCAGCCUGGGUGACAGAGUGAGACUCCGUCUCAAAAAAAAAAAAAAAAAAAAAAGACUGACAGCUUCAGAGGCCGGCAUGGUAGCUGACGCCUGUAAUGGCAGCAUUUUGGGAGGCUGAGGCAG